CAGAACGAACGCUGGCGGCAGGCUUAGGCAUGCAAGUCGAACGGAUGACAAAGGAGCUUGCUCCUUGAAGUCAGUGGCGCACGAGUGAGUAACGCGUGGGAAACUGCCCUUCACUGGGGAAUAACGUUUGGAAACGAACGCUAAUACCGCAUACGCCCGCAAGGGAAAGAUUUAUCGGUGAUGGAUGUGCCCGCGUUGGAUUAGCUAGUUGGUGGGGUAAUGGCCUACCAAGGCGAUGAUCCAUAGCUGGUCUGAGAGGACGAUCAGCCACGCUGGAACUGAGACACGGUCCAGACUCCUACGGGAGGCAGCAGCUAAGAAUAUUGGGCAAUGGAGGAAACUCUGACCCAGCCCAUGCCGCGUGAAUGAAGAAGGCCUUCGGGUUGUAAAGUUCUUUUAGUCAUGAAGAUGAUGACAGUAGUGACAGAAAAAGCACCGGCUAACUUCGUGCCAGCCGCCGC
rnacentral:rRNA from 1 species